rnacentral:ncRNA from 10 species
GUCAAUAACCCACCACGAAAGCAGUGAGCUUAUAUAAGCUUUUAUUGACUAGACCCGGUGUAUAAAGCACUCCGUUAUGUAAGAAUAUAUAGUUACCAGUGGACGUACAGCCUAAUCCACUGCUCUAAG